rnacentral:piRNA from 1 species
UAAAGCCCAGGGCACUAUUUGGUGAU